CCGGUUGAUCCUGCCGGACCUGACUGCUAUCGGAUUGAUACUAAGCCAUGUGAGUCAUUGUAGCAAUACAAGGCAGACGGCUCAGUAACACGUAGCCAACCUACCCUAUGGACGGGGAUAACCUCGGGAAACUGAGGAUAAACCCCGAUAGAUCAUUAUACCUGGAACGGUUUAUGGUCCAAAUGAUUCGUCGCCGUAGGAUGGGACUGCGGCCUAUCAGCCUGUUGGUGAGGUAAUGGCCCACCAAGGCUAUUACAGGUACGGGCUCUGAGAGGAGAAGCCCGGAGAUGGGUACUGAGACACGGACCCAGGCCCUAUGGGGCGCAGCAGGCGAGAAAACUUUGCAAUGUGCGCAAGCACGACAAGGUUAAUCCGAGUGAUUCCUGCUAAAGGAAUCUUUCGCUAGUCCUAAAAACACUAGCGAAUAAGGGGUGGGCAAGUUCUGGUGUCAGCCGCCGCGGUAAAACCAGCACCUCAAGUGGUCAGGAGGAUUAUUGGGCCUAAAGCAUCCGUAGCCUGCUCUGUAAGUUUCCGGUUAAAUCCAUUAGCUUAACUUAUGGGCCGCCGGAAAAACUGCAAAGCUAGGGAGUGGGAGAGGUAGACGGUACUCGGUAGGAAGGGGUAAAAUCCUUUGAUCUAUUGAUGACCACCUGUGGCGAAGGCGGUCUACCAGAACACG
rnacentral:rRNA from 1 species